GUAGGUGGCAAGCGUUGUCCGGAAUUAUUGGGCGUAAAGCGCGCGCAGGUGGUUCUUUAAGUCUGAUGUGAAAGCCCCCGGCUCAACCGGGGAGGGUCAUUGGAAACUGGGGAACUUGAGUGCAGGAGAGGAAAGUGGAAUUCCAUGUGUAGCGGUGAAAUGCGUAGAUAUGUGGAGGAACACCAGUGGCGAAGGCGACUUUCUGGCCUGUAACUGACACUGAGGCGCGAAAGCGUGGGGAGCAAACAGGGAUUAGAUACCCUGGUAGUCCACGCCGUAAACGAUGAGUGCUAAGUGUUGGGGGGGUUUCCGCCCCCUCAGUGCUGCAGCUAACGCAUUAAGCACUCCGCCUGGGAGUACGGUCGCAAGACUG
rnacentral:rRNA from 1 species